rnacentral:rRNA from 1 species
UACGUAGGGUGCAAGCGUUGUCCGGAAUUAUUGGGCGUAAAGGGCUCGUAGGCGGUCCAUCACGUCGGGAGUGAAAAGCUGGGGCUUAACCCCAGUCCUGCUUCCGAUACGGGUGGACUAGAGGUAUGCAGGGGAGAACGGAAUUCCUGGUGUAGCGGUGGAAAUGACGCAGACUAUCAGGAGGAACACCGGUGGCGAAGGCGGGUCUCUGGGCCGAAAUUGACGCUGAGGAGCGAAAGCGUGGGGAGCAAACAGG